UGGUCCAGCUUGUCCUGCUCGUUGGAGCUGGGGGAGGUGGUUAGGAAUUUGUGUGUGGAAAUAAAAAUAAGCGUCUGGGAUGCUUGCCCUUCUCGCAGGCAUUGCUCAUGCUUGUAAGCUUGCAUAGACCUGGCUUAUUGUUGCACUGGAAUAAACCAUCUCUGAGCUCUGACACUGGGUGCAUUGGCACAGAUACUUGGAAAAAAGUUAAAGAUAAAAUCUUCCUGACGCAUUAAAUGUGUUGCCCGAUGUGUGAUGUGGGUUAUGGAGCUAGGGGUCCUGACAAAUCUGGUCUUGUAUAUCCUUAUUUCUGUGUCUAUGUUCUCCUGUCUUUCAAAGGGGGAGAAUGCCUGUAACAACGAGCAAUACAGAGGUUUUGUGUGGAAACUGUGGCAAGUUUUCCAUGCUGUGUGUUCUUUUAUCCUGUGGGUUUGGGUCUCUUCAUAAAAACUGAUGACAACAAAAGCAGAUCAGGUGGUCCCUGCUCAGAGCUGAUGCAGCCUGCGAGGGAAUGCAUGGAUCCGGAGGCCUCUCAGCUGCUGUCACAUCCCCCAGGAUGGCUCAGAGAAGCGGGGCUGGGUGUGCAAUUUCUCGAGAAAAGGCCUCUUGAUGUGGGCUGUGGGGCGCAGGAGGUGGCAGACCCCUCCUGUUUAAUUCUGGUGCUCUGCUGCUUUCUCUCUCUCCUGCUUAAACUCCAGACUGAGGUUUGCAAUCUGAGUUUCACAAACUGUUGGAAAGAAGCUGUGUUCUGCCUCUGGAGACAGCUCCAGGCUUGCUUGGCCUCUUGCCACUUUUGGUGCAGGAACCUCAGAAACCACAGGAAACCUGAUGUUGGCAGGGAGAGGUGCUAGAUUUACUGACAACGUGGCUGUUGGUGAGGUGUGGUAGUGCUUGCUGUGGUGGUAUGCAUCAGCCCUUCUGUGUGUCUGGAUGCCUGCCUUUUACGUGGAAUGAGAAAUGCGUUUCUAGCCCCGCUGACCCUGUGAACGGCUCUGUGCUGUCCCUGACCUUGCUCCAGCUGAGCAGAUUCAAGUGCUUUUGGGAUAACUCUGAAUAUCUGAAGUCCUGGACCUGAGAUCAGCACGUGGUUUAGUUCCUGCUGUUUCUACCGUGUUUGUUCCUUCAUCCACAAUAAAUCACUGUGGGAGCUCGUUAGUCCUGUCCCCUCUGUCUCCUGACAGAGUUGUGGCUUUACCAGAGCAAGGUGUCACACAAGGCACGAGGAGAUGAGUUUUCCCAGGAUAGUCUGAUCGGUGGGGCAUCGAGCACAGGGAGAAGACAAAGCGUGAAAAACAAGUGAGUGAAACUCCUCCUGCGAGCAAAGAGGGAUAUACUCUGCUUCUGCAGGACUUUGUUUCACUCUUGUGGGGUUUCAUUUAGUUUAGUUUUGCUUCUGAAGUACACAAGGUGCUUUUCCAGCUGGAGAGCUGUUGUCCUGGGUGUGCAGGGAGCUCUGUCACUCUUGCUGCUGCCCUUAGCUUGGCCGAACAACCUUUAGGAGGUGCAUAUCCUUUUCUUUCCUGCUGUGUUGCUGUGUAGUCAGCUUUAUGGCGGUGGAGAAAACAGUAUGGCCCUGUUUAUUGCAGAUUGUGGGUAGGAGUUGCAGAAGUGAGAACUGGCACGGCUGUGAAGUUGAUUUAAAACAGGAUGACUGCCUUACCUGUAUCCAUCAAUCUCUUGUGGAAGGGAAGAGCACCAGGCUGCUCCCAGGACUUCUGACACGCAGGUCAUCUUGUCUGCUGAUGAGAUAUGGGGACUCUCCUUCAUCCAGUUCUUCCCUUCCUACUUCGCUUGUCUGCAGCCCUCUGGGCUUCUUGGGCAGGGCGCUGGCCCUCCCUGGGCUCGUGCAGCACAAGUAUGGCAGAGACCUGCCCCAGGCUCUCAGAGAGCUGAGGGUGCCCUGAGCCCCUCCAGUCCCUCCAGCCAUGCGAUGAGUGGAGAGGCAGCGUGAGUCCUUGGCUCUCUGAAGAGGCGCUGCUUGGCUGGGAACUGUUGUGGGUCCACCAGACUGCACCUUGCUUUCUGCAUGAAUCUGACCCUGGGCAAUGGAGGUCUUGGGCUUCAGGGGGUGAAAUUUAAGCUGUCAGUGACUCUCCUGUUUUCUUCCCUGCAGGUAGGCAGGAGCCCCCUGUAGCCGAGUGAGGCAGCAUGGCAACCUGCACGGAGGCUGCACGCAGCGAUGUGAUGGGAGCUCAAGGAGGAUGGCAGUUGUGAACGGGGAGAUGUAGAGAUCUCGCUGGGAUCUCGGGAUUUGCUCGGGCUGUCACCGGAGCCAGCUAUGAAGGUGGAGGCAGUAGCCACGCUGGGCAGGAGGAGGAC